GCAGUGGUGGUUCAGUGGUAGACUUCUUGCCCUCCACGCAGGAGAUCUAGGUUCGAUUCCCAGCCAGUGAA
rnacentral:tRNA from 1 species